rnacentral:rRNA from 1 species
GAUGAACGCUGGCGGCGCGCCUAACACAUGCAAGUCGAACGGCACCCCUCUCCGGAGGGAAGCGAGUGGCGAACGGCUGAGUAACACGUGGAGAACCUGCCCCCUCCCCCGGGAUAGCCGCCCGAAAGGACGGGUAAUACCGGAUACCCCCGGGCGCCGCAUGGCGCCCGGGCUAAAGCCCCGACGGGAGGGGAUGGCUCCGCGGCCCAUCAGGUAGACGGCGGGGUGACGGCCCACCGUGCCGACAACGGGUAGCCGGGUUGAGAGACCGACCGGCCAGAUUGGGACUGAGACACGGCCCAGACUCCUACGGGAGGCAGCAGUGGGGAAUCUUGCGCAAUGGGGGGAACCCUGACGCAGCGACGCCGCGUGCGGGACGGAGGCCUUCGGGUCGUAAACCGCUUUCAGCAGGGAAGAGUCAAGACUGUACCUGCAGAAGAAGCCCCGG